CAGUAGCCACGGUAAAACGAAGGGUGCAAGCGUUAAUCGGAAUUACUGGGCGUAAAGCGUGCGUAGGCGGUUUGUUAAGUCUGCUGUGAAAUCCCCGGGCUCAACCUGGGAAUGGCAGUGGAUACUGGCAAGCUAGAGUGUGUCAGAGGAUGGUGGAAUUCCCGGUGUAGCGGUGAAAUGCGUAGAGAUCGGGAGGAACAUCAGUGGCGAAGGCGGCCAUCUGGGACAACACUGACGCUGAGGCACGAAAGCGUGGGGAGCAAACAGGAUUAGAUACCCCCGUAGUCCCUGUCUCUUAUAC
rnacentral:rRNA from 1 species